ACUGUGUCACCAUGGCCUGGAUUCCUGUCAUCGUCAUGUUCCUCUCGCAUUUUACAGGUUCCCUGUCCCAGCCUGUGCUGACCCAGCCACCCUCCCUCUCUGCAUCCCUGGGAUCAACAGCCAGACCCACCUGCACCCUGAGCAGUGGCUUCAGUGUUGGAAGCUACCAUAUACUCUGGUUCCAGCAGAAGUCAGAGAGCCCUCCCCGGUAUCUCCUGAGGUUCUACUCAGAUUCUAAUGAACACCAGGGUCCCGGGGUCCCCAGCCGCUUCUCUGGAUCCAAGGACACCUCAACCUAUGCAGGGCUCUUGCUCAUCUCUGGGCUGCAGCCUGAGGACGAGGCUGACUACUACUGUGCUACAGACCAUGGCAGUGGGAGCAGCUACACUUACCCACAGUGUGUCAGAUAA